ACACAUACUAAAGGUUUGACAUGACUAGUAUCAUCUUUAGUAGUUAGGAAAUCGAAAAUUCUCCACUCCAAGUCCAGAUAGAUGUUUCCAUUUGAAAGUGAGGCAGCCAUCCAAUCAGUGCUCAAUCUUUGGCUUGAUGCGUGGAGAAAGAGAGAAAUGGAAAUCCUUGCCAGUCGUCCAAUCGGUUAAUGAUAAGCUUUCGAUGAUGGAGAUCCUUGCCAGUCUUGGCCAUUACUUGGCUGACUAAUGUGUUCAACCCCAGCUCAAUCCAUGCUACAUGUGAGAGAGGGGGUUUUGUUCUUUUUCUUUUUUUCGCUGCUUGGUUUUCAUUCCGCUUCUCCUUCCUUUACCACCAAGCAGGGCACCCCUGAACGGGGGUACUCCCAAAAGUUGUGAAUCACACCCCCAUCAGCCAUGGCAGUUCAUUUUCGAGUUUCCUAGGAUUCAAGUUGGCUUCAAACUUUUUUUCGGGAGAAUUAAGCCCGACUACAGGAACUCGUCAUGGAUUUUCUUCUGCACUACGGCCUUGGGCGAGUUCUACUUCCAAGGUGACUCUCAUUUGCUGGGAACAGGCACUGACUUGCCCUUGUUUGUGUCAAGAGUUGAUCAUCCUCCAUAGUAACUUGGCAGUUCACAUCUUCAAGGACUUGGUCCAUUUGUAUAUGUGAUGACGCUGCUUAGAUCAUCCUUGACUCUCUGGGAGCGGUGAGAUUGUUUGGCAGGACAUUGGAUAUGAUCAGAAUGAGCUCACAUGUGAGAUCCUGGACUUAUGCCCGGCAGGAUUUGAUUAGAAUGAGCUCACAUUGGGAAGACAAUUCGAGAGAAUGGUACGUAUUGGGAGGAUUGAAAUGCCUGUGAGUCUAAAUGACUACAUCUUUGCUUGUUACCAUGCAUAUAAAUGAUAUCUAGGCCUACAGCAUACAAUCUGAAGUCUGGCAAAUCCAGAGGCGAUGCUGAAACUUCUAAAGAUUAAUAUGAUCUAUUAAUAGAGCUUGCAAAUUGGUGGAAA